rnacentral:piRNA from 1 species
UUAGAUUUUGUAAAUGUGCUUAUCCAAGU